rnacentral:rRNA from 1 species
UACAGAGGGGGCAAGCGUUGUUCGGAAUUACUGGGCGUAAAGGGCGCGUAGGCGGCCUGUUAAGUCUAACGUGAAAUCCCCGGGCUCAACCCGGGAACUGCGUCCGAUACUGGCAGGCUUGAAUCCGGGAGAGGGAUGCGGAAUUCCAGGUGUAGCGGUGAAAUGCGUAGAUAUCUGGAGGAACACCGGUGGCGAAGGCGGCAUCCUGGACCGGUAUUGACGCUGAGGCACGAAAGCCAGGGGAGCAAACGGG